UGAGCCAAAUUAAAGUCUUGGUCAUGGU
rnacentral:piRNA from 1 species